rnacentral:misc_RNA from 1 species
GAAAUGCGAUAAUUAAUGUCAAUUGCAGAAUUCAGUGAAUCAUCGAGUCUUUGAACGCACAUUGCGCCCCCUGGUAUUCCGGGGGGCAUGCCUGUCCGAGCGUCAUUGCUGCCCUCAAGCACGGCUUGUGUGUUGGGCUUCCGUCCCUGGCAACGGGGACGGGCCCAAAAGGCAGUGGCGGCACCAUGUCUGGUCCUCGAGCGUAUGGGGCUUUGUCACCCGCUCCCGUAGGUCCAGCUGGCAGCUAGCCUCGCAACCAAUCUUUUUAACCAGGUUGACCUCGGAUCAGGUAGGGAUACCCGCUGAACUUAAGC